AUGACUAGGGAUAACCUUAGGAAGAGACACAUCAUCAAACCCCUUGAUUGUGUUUACUGCUUGGAACAAGAGUCUUGUUCUCACCUAUUUUUUGAAUGUAUAGUUUCUAAACAUCUCUGGGCCCACAUUGAGGAAUAUUUCUCUAGUCAGAUUGGCUCAUCCUUCAAAUCUGUCGCCAGAUUCUGGAUUGCUACCAAAAAGUGCUCAGUUUUAAACACUGUUAGCUCAGUUGUCCUUUGGUGCCUCUGGAAAUAUAGAAAUGCUAUGAUUUUCAGUAACACCUCCUGGAUAUCCAUUCCGCAGGUCUUGAGGUUAAUCAGGAACAUGGUGAGGAACUUGGCGAUUCUCUCCUCCGGAUCGGACAAGGACAAGUUGAUGAGCUUCGUGGAAACCCUAACAAGAUCCCUCCAGAAACCAUUGGCGAUCACUUGUGGCUGA
rnacentral:rRNA from 1 species